rnacentral:rRNA from 1 species
CAGCAGCCGCGGUAAUACGUAGGUGGCAAGCGUUGUCCGGAAUUAUUGGGCGUAAAGGGCUCGCAGGCGGUUUCUUAAGCCUGAUGUGAAAGCCCCCGGCUCAACCGGGGAGGGUCAUUGGAAACUGUUAAACUUGAGUGCAGGAGAGAAAAGUGGAAUUCCUAGUGUAGCGGUGAAAUGCGUAGAUAUAUGGAGGAACACCAGUGGCGAAGGCGACUCUCUGGUCUGUAGCUGACGCUGAGGCGCGAAAGCGUGGGGAGCAAACAGGAUUAGAUACCCCGGUAGUCCCUGUCUCUUAUAC